rnacentral:rRNA from 1 species
CCUACGGGAGGCAGCAGUGGGGAAUUUUGGACAAUGGGCGAAAGCCUGAUCCAGCAAUGCCGCGUGUGGGAAGAAGGCCUUCGGGUUGUAAACCACUUUUGUACGGAACGAAACGGUUCGCUUUAAUACAGUGGGCUAAUGACGGUACCGUAAGAAUAAGCACCGGCUAACUACGUGCCAGCAGCCGCGGUAAUACGUAGGGUGCGAGCGUUAAUCGGAAUUACUGGGCGUAAAGCGUGCGCAGGCGGUUAUAUAAGACAGUUGUGAAAUCCCCGGGGCUCAACCUGGGAAUUGCAUCUGUGACUGUAUAGCUAGAGUACGGUAGAGGGGGAUGGAAUUCCGCGUGUAGCAGUGAAAUGCGUAGAUAUGCGGAGGAACACCGAUGGCGAAGGCAAUCCCCUGGACCUGUACUGACGCUCAUGCACGAAAGCGUGGGGAGCAAACAGGAUUAGAUACCCUGGUAGUCCACGCCCUAAACGAUGUCAACUGGUUGUUGGGUGUCAUAGUACUCAGUAACGAAGACUACGCGUGAGUAGUACGCCGUCGGGAGGUACGGCCGCGACGGUAGUAACGUACGAACGAAGUAGACGGCGNGAGACGUGCCGACGGACGACGACGAGGGAGGUUAGG